rnacentral:sRNA from 1 species
CACACCGCCCUGGAUGCUGCCUGCCUGCAUCUGACAUGCUUUCCGGCAGCUCCAGGAUUGGGAAGACCAGGUCCGCUGCGACAUCCGCCAGUUCCUGUCCCUGAGGCCAGAGGAGAAGUUCUCGGGCAGGGCUGUGGCCCGCAUCUUCCACGGCAUCGGAAGCCCCUGCUACCCGGCCCAGGUGUACGGGCAGGACCGGCGCUUCUGGAGAAAAUACCUGCACCUGAGCUUCCACGCCCUGGUGGGCCUGGCCACGGAAGAGCUCCUGCGGGUGGCCCGCUGACUGCACUGCGUUGGGGGAUGUCGGGUAGAGCUGGGGUUGUC